ensembl:lncRNA
AAUAUACCCAAAAACCUAUCCAGAUCCAUAUAAAAGUACAUCAUGUAUGUUUUGUGGUUUUGUACUCAAAAGUACAUCAUGUAUGUUUUGUGGUGGUGUGUGGUGGGGUGUGGAGGUGGUGUGUGGAGGUGGUGUGUGGAGGUGGUGUAGUGGGGUGUGGAGGUGGUGUAGUGGUGUGUGGAGGUGGUGUAGUGGUGUGUGGAGGCGUGUGGAGGUGGUGUAGUGGUGUGUGGAGGUGGUGUAGUGGUGUGUGGAGGUGGUGUAGUGGGGUGUGGAGGUGGUGUAGUGGUGUGUGGAGGUGUGUAGUGGGGUGUGGAGGGGGUGUAGUGGUGUGUGGAGGUGUGUAGUGGUGUGUGGAGGUGGUGUAGUGGGGUGUGGAGGUGGUGUAGUGGGGUGUGGAGGUGGUGUAGUGGGGUGUGGAGGUGGUGUAGUGGUGUGUGGAGGUGGUGUAGUGGUGUGUGGAGGCGUGUGGAGGUGGUGUAGUGGUGUGUGGAGGUGGUGUAGUGGUGUGUGGAGGUGGUGUAGUGGGGUGUGGAGGUGGUGUAGUGGUGUGUGGAGGUGUGUAGUGGGGUGUGGAGGGGGUGUAGUGGUGUGUGGAGGUGUGUAGUGGUGUGUGGAGGUGGUGUAGUGGGGUGUGGAGGUGGUGUAGUGGGGUGUGGAGGUGGUGUAGUGGUGUGUGGAGGUGUGUAGUGGUGUAUGGAGGUGGUGUAGUGGGGUGUGGAGGUGGUGUAGUGGUGUGUGGUGGGGUGUGGAGGUGGUGUAGUGGUGUGUGGAGUGGUGUGUGGAGGUGGUGUAGUGGGGUGUGGAGGUGGUGUAGUGGGGUGUGGAGGUGGUGUAGUGGUGUGUGGAGGUGGUGUAGUGGUGUGUGGAGGUGUGUAGUGGUGUGUGGAGGUGGUGUAGUGGUGUGUGGAGGUGUGUGGAGGCGUGUGGAGGUGGUGUAGUGGUGUGUGGAGGCGUGUGGAGGUGUUGUAGUGGGGUGUGGAGGUGUGUAGUGGUGUGUGGAGGUGGUGUAGUGGGGUGUGGAGGCGUGUGGAGGUGUUGUAGUGGGGUGUGGAGGUGGUGUAGUGGGGUGUGGAGGCGUGUGGAGGUGUGUGGUGGUGUGUGGAGGUGGUGUAGUGGUGUGUGGAGGUGGUGUGUGGAGGUGGUGUGUGGAGGUGGUGUAGUGGGGUGUGGAGGUGGUGUAGUGGUGUGUGGAGGUGGUGUAGUGGUGUGUGGAGGCGUGUGGAGGUGGUGUAGUGGUGUGUGGAGGUGGUGUAGUGGUGUGUGGAGGUGGUGUAGUGGGGUGUGGAGGUGGUGUAGUGGUGUGUGGAGGUGUGUAGUGGGGUGUGGAGGGGUGUAGUGGUGUGUGGAGGUGUGUAGUGGUGUGUGGAGGUGGUGUAGUGGGGUGUGGAGGUGGUGUAGUGGGGGUGUGGAGGUGGUGUAGUGGUGUGUGGAGGUGUGUAGUGGUGUAGUGGUGUGUGGAGGCGUGUGGAGGUGGUGUAGUGGUGUGUGGAGGUGGUGUAGUGGAGGUGGUGUAGUGGGGUGUGGAGGUGGUGUAGUGGUGUGUGGUGGGGUGUGGAGGUGGUGUAGUGGUGUGUGGAGUGGUGUGUGGAGGUGGUGUAGUGGGUGUGGAGGUGGUGUAGUGGGGUGUGGAGGUGGUGUAGUGGUGUGUGGAGGUGGUGUAGUGGUGUGUGGAGGUGUGUAGUGGUGUGUGGAGGUGGUGUAGUGGUGUGUGGAGGUGUGUGGAGGCGUGUGGAGGUGGUGUAGUGGUGUGUGGAGGCGUGUGGAGGUGUUGUAGUGGGGUGUGGAGGUGUGUAGUGGUGUGUGGAGGUGGUGUAGUGGGGUGUGGAGGCGUGUGGAGGUGUUGUAGUGGGGUGUGGAGGUGGUGUAGUGGGGUGUGGAGGCGUGUGGAGGUGUGUGGUGGUGUGUGGAGGUGGUUGUAGUGGUGUGUGGAGGUGUGUGGAGGUGUGUAGUGGGGUGUGGAGGUGGUGUAGUGGUGUGUGGAGGUGGUGUAGUGGUGUGUGGAGGUGGUGUAGUGGUGUGUGGAGGCGUGUGGAGGUGGUGUAGUGGUGUGUGGAGGCGUGUGGAGGUGGUGUAGUGGUGUGUGGUGGUGGUGU